rnacentral:rRNA from 1 species
GGUUAAGCGACUAAGCGUACACGGUGGAUGCCCUGGCAGUCAGAGGCGAUGAAGGACGUGCUAAUCUGCGAAAAGCGCCGGCGAGGUGAUAUGAACCUUUGACCCGGCGAUGUCCGAAUGGGGAAACCCAGUGUGAUUCGUCACACUAUCGUUAACUGAAUACAUAGGUUAACGAGGCGAACCGGGGGAACUGAAACAUCUAAGUACCCCGAGGAAAAGAAAUCAACCGAGAUUCCCCCAGUAGCGGCGAGCGAACGGGGAGCAGCCCAGAGUCUGAAUCAGCUUGUGUGUUAGUGGAAGCGUCUGGAAAGUCGCACGGUACAGGGUGACAGUCCCGUACACGAAAAUGCACAGGUUGUGAACUCGAAGAGUAGGGCGGGACACGUGGUAUCCUGUCUGAAUAUGGGGGGACCAUCCUCCAAGGCUAAAUACUCCUGACUGACCGAUAGUGAACCAGUACCGUGAGGGAAAGGCGAAAAGAACCCCGGCGAGGGGAGUGAAAAAGAACCUGAAACCGUGUACGUACAAGCAGUGGGAGCACCUUCGUGGUGUGACUGCGUACCUUUUGUAUAAUGGGUCAGCGACUUAUAUUCUGUAGCAAGGUUAACCGUAUAGGGGAGCCGAAGGGAAACCGAGUCUUAACUGGGCGUUAAGUUGCAGGGUAUAGACCCGAAACCCGGUGAUCUAGCCAUGGGCAGGUUGAAGGUUGGGUAACACUAACUGGAGGACCGAACCGACUAAUGUUGAAAAAUUAGCGGAUGACUUGUGGCUGGGGGUGAAAGGCCAAUCAAACCGGGAGAUAGCUGGUUCUCCCCGAAAGCUAUUUAGGUAGCGCCUCGUGAACUCAUCUUCGGGGGUAGAGCACUGUUUCGGCUAGGGGGCCAUCCCGGCUUACCAACCCGAUGCAAACUACGAAUACCGAAGAAUGUUAUCACGGGAGACACACGGCGGGUGCUAACGUCCGUCGUGAAGAGGGAAACAACCCAGACCGCCAGCUAAGGUCCCAAAGUCAUGGUUAAGUGGGAAACGAUGUGGGAAGGCACAGACAGCCAGGAUGUUGGCUUAGAAGCAGCCAUCAUUUAAAGAAAGCGUAAUAGCUCACUGGUCGAGUCGGCCUGCGCGGAAGAUGUAACGGGGCUAAACCAUGCACCGAAGCUGCGGCAGCGACGCUUAUGCGUUGUUGGGUAGGGGAGCGUUCUGUAAGCCGUUGAAGGUGGCCUGUGAGGGUUGCUGGAGGUAUCAGAAGUGCGAAUGCUGACAUAAGUAACGAUAAAGCGGGUGAAAAGCCCGCUCGCCGGAAGACCAAGGGUUCCUGUCCAACGUUAAUCGGGGCAGGGUGAGUCGACCCCUAAGGCGAGGCCGAAAGGCGUAGUCGAUGGGAAACAGGUUAAUAUUCCUGUACUUGGUGUUACUGCGAAGGGGGGACGGAGAAGGCUAUGUUAGCCGGGCGACGGUUGUCCCGGUUUAAGCAUGUAGGCGGAGGUUCCAGGUAAAUCCGGUACCUUAUUAACGCUGAGGUGUGAUGACGAGGCACUACGGUGCUGAAGUAACAAAUGCCCUGCUUCCAGGAAAAGCCUCUAAGCAUCAGGUAACAUCAAAUCGUACCCCAAACCGACACAGGUGGUCAGGUAGAGAAUACCAAGGCGCUUGAGAGAACUCGGGUGAAGGAACUAGGCAAAAUGGUGCCGUAACUUCGGGAGAAGGCACGCUGAUAUGUAGGUGAAGCCCCUGCGGGUGGAGCUGAAAUCAGUCGAAGAUACCAGCUGGCUGCAACUGUUUAUUAAAAACACAGCACUGUGCAAACACGAAAGUGGACGUAUACGGUGUGACGCCUGCCCGGUGCCGGAAGGUUAAUUGAUGGGGUUAGCGGCAACGCGAAGCUCUUGAUCGAAGCCCCGGUAAACGGCGGCCGUAACUAUAACGGUCCUAAGGUAGCGAAAUUCCUUGUCGGGUAAGUUCCGACCUGCACGAAUGGCGUAAUGAUGGCCAGGCUGUCUCCACCCGAGACUCAGUGAAAUUGAACUCGCUGUGAAGAUGCAGUGUACCCGCGGCAAGACGGAAAGACCCCGUGAACCUUUACUAUAGCUUGACACUGAACACUGGUCCUUGAUGUGUAGGAUAGGUGGGAGGCUUUGAAGUGUGGACGCCAGUCUGCAUGGAGCCGUCCUUGAAAUACCACCCUUUAAUGGCUGGUGUUCUAACGUAGACCCGUGAUCCGGGUUGCGGACAGUGUCUGGUGGGUAGUUUGACUGGGGCGGUCUCCUCCCAAAGAGUAACGGAGGAGCACGAAGGUUAGCUAAUCCUGGUCGGACAUCAGGAGGUUAGUGCAAUGGCAUAAGCUAGCUUGACUGCGAGAGUGACGGCUCGAGCAGGUGCGAAAGCAGGUCAUAGUGAUCCGGUGGUUCUGAAUGGAAGGGCCAUCGCUCAACGGAUAAAAGGUACUCCGGGGAUAACAGGCUGAUACCGCCCAAGAGUUCAUAUCGACGGCGGUGUUUGGCACCUCGAUGUCGGCUCAUCACAUCCUGGGGCUGAAGUAGGUCCCAAGGGUAUGGCUGUUCGCCAUUUAAAGUGGUACGCGAGCUGGGUUUAGAACGUCGUGAGACAGUUCGGUCCCUAUCUGCCGUGGGCGCUGGAGAAUUGAGGGGGGCUGCUCCUAGUACGAGAGGACCGGAGUGGACGCAUCACUGGUGUUCGGGUUGUCAUGCCAAUGGCACUGCCCGGUAGCUAAAUGCGGAAAAGAUAAGUGCUGAAAGCAUCUAAGCACGAAACUUGCCCCGAGAUGAGUUCUCCCUGAGACUUUAAGUCUCCUGAAGGAACGUUGAAGACGACGACGUUGAUAGGUCGGGUGUGUAAGCGCAGCGAUGCGUUGAGCUAACCGAUACUAAUGAACCGUGAGGCUUAACCUU